UGACGGUAUCAUAUGAAUAAGCACCGGCUAACUCCGUGCCAGCAGCCGCGGUAAUACGGGGGGUGCAAGCGUUACUCGGAAUCACUGGGCGUAAAGAGCAUGUAGGCGGGUGAAUAAGUUGGAAGUGAAAUCCUAUAGCUUAACUAUAGAACUGCUUCCAAAACUGUUCACCUAGAGUAUGGGAGAGGUAGAUGGAAUUUCUGGUGUAGGGGUAAAAUCCGUAGAGAUCAGAAGGAAUACCGAUUGCGAAGGCGAUCUACUGGAACAUUACUGACGCUCAGAUGCGAAAGCGUGGGGAGCAAACAGGAUUAGAUACCCUGGUAGUCCACGCCCUAAACGAUGUACACUAGUUGUUGCUAUACUAGAUAUGGCAGUAAUGCAGUUAACACUUUAAGUGUACCGCCUGGGGAGUACGGUCGCAAGAUUAAAACUCAAAGGAAUAGACGGGGACCCGCACAAGCGGUGGAGCAUGUGGUUUAAUUCGACGAUACGCGAAAAACCUUACCUGGCCUUGACAUAGUAGGAAUCUUUAAGAGAUUAGAGAGUGCUAGCUUGCUAGAACCUACAUACAGGUGCUGCACGGCUGUCGUCAG
rnacentral:rRNA from 1 species